CCUACGGGAGGCAGCAGUGGGGAAUUUUGGACAAUGGGCGCAAGCCUGAUCCAGCAAUGCCGCGUGCAGGAUGAAGGCCUUCGGGUUGUAAACUGCUUUUGUACGGAACGAAAAAGUCUGCCCUAAUACGGUGGGCCCAUGACGGUACCGUAAGAAUAAGCACCGGCUAACUACGUGCCAGCAGCCGCGGUAAUACGUAGGGUGCGAGCGUUAAUCGGAAUUACUGGGCGUAAAGCGUGCGCAGGCGGUUAUAUAAGACAGAUGUGAAAUCCCCGGGCUCAACCUGGGACCUGCAUUUGUGACUGUAUAGCUAGAGUACGGUAGAGGGGGAUGGAAUUCCGCGUGUAGCAGUGAAAUGCGUAGAUAUGCGGAGGAACACCGAUGGCGAAGGCAAUCCCCUGGACCUGUACUGACGCUCAUGCACGAAAGCGUGGGGAGCAAAACAGGAUUAGACUACCCGUGGUACGUCCGACGACCCGUAACCGAACGUAGUCUACGUAGGUUGGUUGGUUCGUUC
rnacentral:rRNA from 1 species